rnacentral:rRNA from 1 species
GACGUAGGGUGCGAGCGUUGUCCGGAUUUAUUGGGCGUAAAGAGCUCGUAGGCGGCUCGUCGCGUCGACCGUGAAAACCCGCGGCUUAACUGCGGGCUUGCGGUUGAUACGGGCGGGCUAGAGUUCGGUAGGGGAGACUGGAAUUCCUGGUGUAGCGGUGAAAUGCGCAGAUAUCAGGAGGAACACCGGUGGCGAAGGCGGGUCUCUGGGCCGAUACUGACGCUGAGGAGCGAAAGCGCGGGGAGCGAACAGG